UGAAAACGCAUCCCAGGGAACAAUCGACUCCGUAACCAUCUGUUAAUUACCUCUAGGUUAAUUUUUCACCGGAAUUGUCCUUUAACCCCCCCAGAGCUGUGUGGAGCACUUUAUCAUGGAUGGACUCACUUUUGCACUUCAAAACAGAAACGAUAAACACAUUAGCCUUGAGGGGAGGCACAACAGUAAAGGAAAGUGUAUGGCGGAUUCUGAGCUUCCUUCUAUCAAACGACAUGGCCCGGCAAAUGAACUGGAGGGGAAUCAAUGGAAAAGCAGCAUUCAAAGACACCUCUCUGAAAACUGAAAUUAAUGCUGCAGUCAGAAGAAACCGUUUGAUUUCCACUGCAACAGACCAGGAAGUAGAAAACUGGAUAAAGAGAUGGCUGCAGCUUUCCGCAGACAGGGAUGGAGGCCGUCGGGCAAGACAAAAAAAUUGACUGUUUCCUGGUUCUGACACUUGCUUGUUCAACGGACUGCCCUUUUGCCUUGCUGUUUUUGAACUAUAGAUCUGAUACUCCAUUUGUUUAAAUUCUCCUGGUUCUGACACUCGCUCGCCCUGCCUGUUCAACAGACUGCCCUUUUGCCUUGCUCUGUUCUUUUAACUAUAGAUCCGAUUCUAUGCUUGUUUUAUUAAAUUCUCCUGGUUUUGAGUGACACUUGCUUGACCUUGUUCAUAAUAUGUAGACCUUGUCUAAUGUUUUCUUUGGACUGAUUUCUGGCAGUCCUCCC